rnacentral:rRNA from 1 species
GACUACGCUGGCGGCGUGCCUAAUACAUGCAAGUCGAACGGGAUUCUUUGAUCAGUUUGCUGAGAGAAGGAUCUAGUGGCGGACGGGUGAGUAACGCGUGGGAAUCUGCCUCUUACUGGGGGAUAACAGUGGGAAACUACUGCUAAUACCGCAUAAGAUCUUCGGAUGAAAGGUGCAACUGCACCGGUAAGAGAUGAGCCCGCGUCCCAUUAGCUAGUUGGUGAGGUAAAGGCUCACCAAGGCGACGAUGGGUAGCCGGCCUGAGAGGGUGAACGGCCACACUGGGACUGAGACACGGCCCAGACUCCUACGGGAGGCAGCAGUAGGGAAUCUUCCGCAAUGGGCGCAAGCCUGACGGAGCGACGCCGCGUGAGUGAUGAAGGCCUUCGGGUCGUAAAGCUCUGUUCUUGAGGACGAAUAAGCCAGGGAGUGGAAAGCCCUGGUGAUGACUGUACUCAAGGAGAAAGCUCCGGCUAACUACGUG